GGGGGAGGGCAUCAUUCUAGUUGACCCAAAGUCAUAGCAUCUAGCCAACUCCAACGACUGGGACGAAUGAUUCAAUGCACUGAUGUUUAAAGUAUUCUUCAUUACAUCUCCUGCGCACAAAACAUACAAACAUACGGUUUCGUUCCAGGCUUUCAGUGAUCCACACUUCCGAAUCGACUUUUCAGUAUCACCUAAGCAAACGAACAGCGUGUGGCAAAUAGCAAAUACGUGUUUUUAAUGUAAAACCGACUGCUGGUCUUUAGAAAAUUUGUUAAUCUUGUCGUACAAACAGCGCCGAAGACGCGUAAGAUUUAUCCAACUGCGUGUGUGGUUGCGGUUGGGCCAUGUUUGUUAACAAAGAUUCUUCAUAUUGACACAACUGAAAUCGAAGGAACAAAUAUCCAAGGAGGCAAGGAACUUAAAAUUUACCUGUGAUAUUGUACGCAAUCUACAAGUGACUCGAGGUUAUUUUUGAUCUAUUAUCUGGAAAAAUAUUUCAAGAUUUAUCUAUUAUAUAAUAUAGAUAAAACUUCAAUGAAUUAUCUGUUUCCUUAGCUAGAUUAUUUUUGGGUUAUUUUUGUACGUACAACAUUAAUUACUUAUAUUAUAUUAUCUGUUUUGUGUAUUAACAUGUACCUAUAAAGUGUAACGUAUGAUACCUAUUAAAGUAUUAAACAUAUUAUAUUAAAUAUAAUCAAAUAAUUUUUACUUCUGCUGAACUU